AGGACGAACGCUGGCGGCGUGCUUAACACAUGCAAGUCGAGCGGAAAGGCCCUUCGGGGUACUCGAGCGGCGAACGGGUGAGUAACACGUGAGCAACCUGCCCUUAGCUCCGGGAUAGCUCCGGGAAACCGGAAUUAAUACCGGAUACGACCACGGCCGACAUCUGCUGUGGUGGAAAGGAUUCCGGCUAAGGAUGGGCUCGCGGCCUAUCAGCUAGUUGGUGGAGUAACGGCCCACCAAGGCGACGACGGGUAGCCGGCCUGAGAGGGCGACCGGCCACACUGGGACUGAGACACGGCCCAGACUCCUACGGGAGGCAGCAGUGGGAAUAUUGCGCAAUGGGCGAAAGCCUGACGCAGCGACGCCGCGUGGGGAUGAAGGCCUUCGGGUUGUAAACCCUUUCGGCAGGGACGAAGCGAAAGUGACGGUACCUGCAGAAGAAGCGCCGGCUAACUACGCGCCAGCAGCCGC
rnacentral:rRNA from 1 species